GACAGAGGUGCCGAGCGUUAGGCGGAAUCACUGGGCUUAAAGCGUGUGUAGGCGGACCCAUAAGUACCUUGUGAAAUCCCACGGCUCAACCGUGGAACGGCUGGGUAUACUGCGGGUCUUGAGCGGCCUAGGGGCAGACGGAACAAGUGGUGGAGCGGUGAAAUGCGUAGAUAUCACUUGGAACGCCGACGGUGAAAACAGUCUGCUGGGGGCCUGCUGACGCUGAGACACGAAAGCCAGGGGAGCGAACGGG
rnacentral:rRNA from 1 species